AGAGUUUGAUUAUGGCUCAGGAUGAACGCUAGCGACAGGCUUAACACAUGCAAGUCGAGGGGCAGCGGGGCGGCAGGCUUGCCUGCCGUUGCCGGCGACCGGCGCACGGGUGAGUAACACGUAUGCAACCUGCCCGUGGCAGGGGGAUAAGCGGGGGAAACCCCGUCUAAUACCGCGUAACGCGGCCUAGGGACAUCCCAAGGCCGCCAAAGGGAGCAAUCCCGGCCACGGAUGGGCAUGCGGCGCAUUAGCUAGUCGGCGGGGUAACGGCCCACCGAGGCGACGAUGCGUAGGGGUUCUGAGAGGAAGGCCCCCCACACUGGUACUGAGACACGGACCAGACUCCUACGGGAGGCAGCAGUGAGGAAUAUUGGUCAAUGGGCGCGAGCCUGAACCAGCCAAGUCGCGUGAGGGAGGACGGCCCUACGGGUUGUAAACCUCUUUUGCCGGGGAGCAACGGG
rnacentral:rRNA from 1 species